rnacentral:rRNA from 1 species
UACAGAGGUCUCAAGCGUUGUUCGGAUUCAUUGGGCGUAAAGGGUGCGUAGGCGGCGCGGUAAGUCGGAUGUGAAAUCUCGGAGCUUAACUCCGAAACUGCAUUCGAUACUGCCGUGCUUGAGGACUGGAGAGGAGACUGGAAUUUACGGUGUAGCGGUGAAAUGCGUAGAUAUCGUAAGGAAGACCAGUGGCGAAGGCGGGGUCUCUGGACAGUUCCUGACGCUGAGGCACGAAGGCCAGGGGGAGCAAACGGG